AUCCUUCUAGGUCAUACUCAUGAUGAUUGGUUAUUUCAUGAAUUUGUCAUGAAAUGUGUUGCCUUAUUGUUAUGCCAUGCUCAAGACCUAUCUGAUA